rnacentral:rRNA from 1 species
UCAAGUAAUUAAGUGCAUGUGGUGGAUGCCUUGGCAGUCAGAGGCGAUGAAAGACGUGAUAGCCUGCGAAAAGCUCCGGGGAGGCGGCAAAUAUCCUUUGAUCCGGAGAUGUCUGAAUGGGGGAACCCACCUACUUUAAGGUAGGUAUUGCAACAUGAAUACAUAGUGUUGCAAGGCGAACGAGGGGAAGUGAAACAUCUCAGUACCCUUAGGAAAAGAAAUCAAUUGAGAUUCCCUCAGUAGCGGCGAGCGAACGGGGAUCAGCCCAUUAAGUUAUGUGUGUUUUAGUGGAACGCUCUGGGAAGUGCGAACGUAGAGGGUGAUAUUCCCGUACACGAAAGGGCACACAUAAUGAUGACGAGUAGGGCGAGGCACGUGAAACCUUGUCUGAAUAUGGGGGGACCAUCCUCCAAGGCUAAAUACUCCUGACUGACCGAUAGUGAACCAGUACCGUGAGGGAAAGGCGAAAAGAACCCCUGUGAGGGGAGUGAAAUAGAUCCUGAAACCGCAUGCAUACAAGCAGUGGGAGCACCUUCGUGGUGUGACUGCGUACCUUUUGUAUAAUGGGUCAGCGACUUAUAUUCAGUAGCGAGGUUAACCGUAUAGGGGAGCCGUAGAGAAAUCGAGUCUUAAUAGGGCGUUUAGUUGCUGGGUAUAGACCCGAAACCAGGCGAUCUAUCCAUGAGCAGGUUGAAGGUUGGGUAACACUAACUGGAGGACCGAACCCACUGUCGUUGAAAAGCCAGGGGAUGACUUGUGGAUAGGGGUGAAAGGCUAAUCAAGCCUGGUGAUAGCUGGUUCUCCCCGAAAGCUAUUUAGGUAGCGCCUCGGACGAAUACCAUAGGGGGUAGAGCACUGUUUCGGCUAGGGGGUCAUCCCGACUUACCAAACCGAUGCAAACUCCGAAUACCUAUGAGUACUAUCCGGGAGACAGACUGCGGGUGCUAACGUCCGUAGUCAAGAGGAAAACAAUCCAGACCGCCAGCUAAGGCCCCAAAAUCAUAGUUAAGUGGGAAACGAUGUGGGAAGGCAUAGACAGCUAGGAGGUUGGCUUAGAAGCAGCCACCCUUUAAAGAAAGCGUAAUAGCUCACUAGUCGAGUCGGCCUGCGCGGAAGAUGUAACGGGGCUAAAACUAUGUGCCGAAGCUGCGGAUGUAUACUUUGUAUACGUGGUAGGGGAGCGUUCUGUAAGCCGAUGAAGGUGUGUUGAGAAGCAUGCUGGAGGUAUCAGAAGUGCGAAUGCUGACGUGAGUAACGACAAAACGGGUGAAAAACCCGUUCGCCGAAAGACCAAGGGUUCCAGUCCAACGUUAAUCGGGGCUGGGUGAGUCGACCCCUAAGGCGAGGCCGAAAGGCGUAGUCGAUGGGAAAAUGGUUAAUAUUCCAUUACUUCUGUGUAAUGCGAUGAGAGGACGGAGAAGGCUAAAUCAGCCUGGCGUUGGUUGUCCAGGUGAAAGGAUGUAGGCAUGUAUCUUAGGCAAAUCCGGGGUACUCUAUGCUGAGAUCUGAUAGCAAGCUGUACUUGUACAGCGAAGUGGUUGAUGCCAUGCUUCCAGGAAAAGUCUCUAAGCUUCAGUUACACAGGAAUCGUACCCGAAACCGACACAGGUGGUCAGGUCGAGUAGACCAAGGCGCUUGAGAGAACUCUGCUGAAGGAACUAGGCAAAAUGGUACCGUAACUUCGGGAGAAGGUACGCUGUUGUUGGUGAUGGAACUCGCUUCCUGAGCUGACGACAGCCGCAGAAACCAGGCCGCUGCAACUGUUUAUUAAAAACAUAGCACUCUGCAAACACGAAAGUGGACGUAUAGGGUGUGAUGCCUGCCCGGUGCUGGAAGGUUAAUUGAUGGGGUUAGCGUAAGCGAAGCUCUUGAUCGAAGCCCCAGUAAACGGCGGCCGUAACUAUAACGGUCCUAAGGUAGCGAAAUUCCUUGUCGGGUAAGUUCCGACCUGCACGAAUGGCAUAAUGAUGGCGGCGCUGUCUCCAGCAGAGGCUCAGUGAAAUCGAAAUCGCUGUGAAGAUGCAGUGUACCCGCGGCUAGACGGAAAGACCCCGUGAACCUUUACUGCAGCUUGACACUGAACUUUGACCUUACUUGUGUAGGAUAGGUGGGAGGCUUUGAAGCUGGAACGCUAGUUCCAGUGGAGCCGUCCUUGAAAUACCACCCUGGUAAUGUUGAGGUUCUAACUCUGUCCCGUGAUCCGGGACGAGGACCGUGUCUGGUGGGUAGUUUGACUGGGGCGGUCUCCUCCUAAAGAGUAACGGAGGAGUACGAAGGUGCGCUCAGCGUGGUCGGAAAUCACGCGUAGAGUAUAAAGGCAAAAGCGCGCUUAACUGCGAGACCCACAAGUCGAGCAGGUACGAAAGUAGGUCUUAGUGAUCCGGUGGUUCUGUAUGGAAGGGCCAUCGCUCAACGGAUAAAAGGUACUCUGGGGAUAACAGGCUGAUACCGCCCAAGAGUUCAUAUCGACGGCGGUGUUUGGCACCUCGAUGUCGGCUCAUCUCAUCCUGGGGCUGAAGCAGGUCCCAAGGGUAUGGCUGUUCGCCAUUUAAAGAGGUACGCGAGCUGGGUUUAGAACGUCGUGAGACAGUUCGGUCCCUAUCUACCGUGGGCGCUGGAAAUUUGAGAGGAUCUGCUCCUAGUACGAGAGGACCAGAGUGGACGAACCUCUGGUGUACCGGUUGUGACGCCAGUCGCAUCGCCGGGUAGCUAUGUUCGGAAGGGAUAACCGCUGAAAGCAUCUAAGCGGGAAGCCUACCUCAAGAUAAGAUUGCCCUAGGACUUUAUGUCCUCUAAAGAGCCGUUCGAGACUAGGACGUUGAUAGGUUGGAUGUGGAAGCAUAGUGAUAUGUGAAGCUGACCAAUACUAAUUGCUCGUGAGGCUUGACUAU